CACUUCGCAUGACUUACCCGCCACUUGAUCAGGCGAUUUUUUGUUCCAUAAAAUGUUUUCUUUUUUUGUCACUUUUCUUUCCUCGACAGCUGCGUUUUACCCUUCAGACACAAGUUCAAGCCACUUAGAUCUCUCAGACUUGGACAGUUUUACUGCAGUCAUGCCGUCAUUCAGUCCAUGUCCCAAACCCUGGUACAGCCUUGCUGACUGCGUCAAAAAUGGCCUCUUCACUUGGAAGAGUCCAAGCUGGGAUGGACGGACGGAUGGUGACUGUCUUCCUGUUGCUUUCUAUUGAUGGAUAUGAGGCUGGAGACUGAGUCGGGGACCCUGCGUAUGCUUGGCAAGCACUGUACCACUAAGCCACCUCCUGGCAAACAAUACCACAUAUAUUGACAUUUUACUCCUGAGUUAAAUUAUAGAGAUUUUAAUGUGGCAUUACAUUGCUGCUGCUUUGUCUGUUGACACCCAGUUAAUGACUUUGUGAAUGAGUAAGUAGAUGGAAACUUCAAGAAGUUAAGUGACUUCAACAUUCAGCGUCCUUAUUACCCAAGAUGCUUCUGCACACCAGAACAGCUUAUGGCUGUAUAACCUACAUUUGUGAAUGUGUUGGUACAUUUCAGAAGUAACUGAAGAGUGCUUACUUGUCAGUGAUUUUGGUUUGAAUCAGCCAGUUGAUGAAGUCCCUGGUGGCAAGACUAUCGAGAAUCGUGUUCAUCUCAUCGGAGAAGGAGCCGUCCGCAUGUCUGCGGCCGAGUUCUUCAACAAUGGUGACUUCUUCUGGGAAGCUAAGAAAAGGAGGGCUCAAGUCAGUGUUUGAUUAUCUUAAAUUCAUACGGAUUGUUGAUUGUUGGUGAUGUGUGAGCGCUGCAGAGAUAAAACCCCUCAUACAAGCCCAUGCAAAGCGUGACCAUUAAAACAGGUUCAGGUUUUGGAUCUUGGCCCUGAAACUAAA